UGUCACCACCGUAGCAUCCAUCCCCGAUGCAUAUACCUCUAGGCCAUCUCCUAGUGUUCGUUCACCACUGCUUGAGUGUCUGAAAAACUCUAUCUCCCUCUACACCUCGAUACCUAGAGCUCGUGCCAUGGCCAUGGACUUCAUCAUCACCCAUGAAGAAAUCUCUCUUCGGUGCUCCUCCACAUGUGGAUGCACCUAUCCUCAGUGCUCCACUUUUCUGUGAUCCAACGACCCCACAAUAGGCAACUCUGAUAAAUACACCAUCAACUGUUUAAUCUGCACCGACGGAACCUCCGAUUGAUCCUCCAUGACUAAAGCAAUCACCUCGACCUCUCUGGACACAACAGAUCCCUCCAUCUAAUACAGCCAACUCCUCAAUCUCCUCCCUCUCAUCACAAUCCUGCUGUCCUUGGGGAUAUUCAGCAUCCUUGAAUCACUUCUGAAAAUGAAGCCCUUCUCCUUCAAGUAUCCAAGUGAUACUAUGCUCCUCCUGAGAUCCGAGACAUGAUGCACAUCUGUCAAGGUUCGCAUCCUCUCGUCAAACAUCCUCAGCUUGAUCGAACCCACUCCUGCUGCACU
rnacentral:lncRNA from 1 species